UACAGAGGGUGCAAGCGUUAAUCGGAUUUACUGGGCGUAAAGCGUGCGUAGGCGGUUUGUUAAGUCGGUUGUGAAAGCCCUGGGCUCAACCUGGGAAUUGCAGUCGAUACUGACAGGCUAGAGAACGGUAGAGGGAGGCGGAACUCCAGGUGUAGCAGUGAAAUGCGUAGAUAUCUGGAAGAACACCGAUGGCGAAGGCAACCUCCUGGGCCUGUUCUGACGCUGAGGCACGAAAGCGUGGGGAGCAAACAGG
rnacentral:rRNA from 1 species